GGUUAAGUAAUUAAAGGGAUUAUUAGGGAUGCCUAGCAGAUAUAUUGAAAAGGAAGUAGAAUACUAAAAGUAUAGAUACUAUAAAUCAGAAUAUUUAUACAAUCCUAAGGUAAACCGAAUAGUAUAGAACGUUGGGAAGUAAAACAUUAUAGUACCAAUAGGAAAGGAAAUCAAAAGAGACUCUGGAAGUAAUGGUGAGUGAAACCAGAAUAGCCAAAACUUUUUCUAACAUGCAUAGUACUUUGGAAUAAGUAGACAUUUAAGAAAAUACAAUUUUCUUAAUCCCAUAGAAGGUGAAAGUCCUGUAUGCGAUGAAAGUGAAAGUGUUAAUAAGUAAUAUGAGGACGUCAGCCUUGUAUGAAUAAGGGGGUACCAUCCUCCAAGGCUAAGUAUAAUAUAUCUAGCGAUAGUGGAGAGUAACGUGAGUGAAAGGUGAAAAGUAAGUAGAUGACUAGUGAAAUAGAACCUGAACUAGUAAUCCUAUAAGCAGUUGGAGUUUUAGUAAAAAAUGACAACGUACCUUUUGCAUAAUGGGUCAGCGAGUUAGUUUAUAGAGCAAGAUGAAUAAUCUAAGCGAAAGCAACUAUAAUAAGUGGAUCAAAAAUAGUUUUAUGAACUAGACCCGAAGCCAAAUGAUCUUACUAUGGCCAGGCUAAAAAAGGGCCGAACAGGUGAAUGUUGCAAAAUUCUCUGAUGAGCUGUGGUAAGGGGUGAAUUUUUCGCCCUCAUAACGAGUGAUUGUUAUUGAUAAAUCUAACUCAUAACGGUGAAGCCUAAGGUUCUACAAUAUCCAAAUAGAACUAUGGUAAUACCGUGGGAAGUCUUAUUAUUGUAGGAACUAUCUAUUUUAUUAAUAUUAUUUAUAUUAAUACCUUAAUAAUGACCCCGUAACGACUGAUUCAAAAGAAGAGACUCUGAAAUUUAUUUCUUUGUAACACGUUAGCACUCUAUCGUUCCAAUCUACUAUGAUUAUAAGCAACAAGAUACUAUUUAUACUAUAUUUUAAUUUAAACAAUGAAAACACGACUAUUUAAUUUUACUAAGUGGUGGCUAACAGGUUUUACUCAAGCUGAUGGUGGAUUUGUAGUUAAUUUCGAUGCACGGAAACAAGGUAAUCUACCUUAUUAUCCUCGUCCUUCAUUCGUACUAACUCAAAAUAUUCGAGAAGAACAAAUGAUGAUUGAACUACAUGGUGUUGGUAAACUAUAUUAUAGCCGUAACGAAAUUAAUAUUGUAGUACGUUCUCAAGACGAUAUUACUAAUGUUAUUAUCCCACAUUUUGAUAACUAUUCACUUCGUGGACAUAAACUUAGUUCAUAUUUUCUCUUUAAAGAAGUAGUACUUAUGAUGAAUAAUGGUAAACACCUUAGUCCAUUUCUACAAAUCCUAGAACUAUGUUACUUUACUAAUCAUACUACACGACGUACUCUAGAUACUAAAAAAGCUAUUCUUGAUAAAAUUUAUAAUAAGUUCGGAUUUGUACAAUUUGAACCUAUUAUUGAAUCUAAUCUAAGUAAACCUAAUUCAAAUCCUAUUAAUAAUGAUUAUAUGGUAGGACUAGUUGAUGGUGAUGGUAGCUUUAACUUUGGAUUUAAAUCUACUCGACGACGAAUUGUACCUAAUUUUACAAUUGUACAAGGAGUUGAAGAUCGAUCAGUACUAGAAGAUGUUCAAUCAUAUCUUGAUUGUGGUAAAGUGUAUGAUCUACAAAGUCAAACAUCUCGAUAUCAAGUUGAGAAUGUAACAGAUCUAGUAGAAAAAGUACUUCCUGAAUUUAAAGAGAAUAAGUUUAAUACUACUAAAAAAGACUACACGUUGUAGAAGCUUGGCUAAUCCUAGCGGUAUUAAAGAGGAUAAUGAUCUAAUGAAAGUAGUAGAACUAGUUUAUAAUAUGAAUCUGGAUGGGAAAUCACGUAAACAAAGUAAGGAAGAAUAUCUAAAAAAAUUUGUUAAGGAUAUUACAGUAUAAAAAAUAUCUUAUAAUCUAAGGUAGAAGUAGAGUUGAAGGUAUAGUCUAAACUAUAAUGAAAAUUAUAGAAUUUCUUGGAAAGGCCAAUCUAAUUUGGAUGAUAGCUGGUAUUCUGCGAAACCUAUUUAGGUAGGGCCUUUAUUUACACUUUUAUAUGUACAGCACUGAUCAUCAUACAUUAGCCAGAUAUUUAUAUCACUAUGUUAAAUUGGGGGGUCUCACAACUCUACCAUUGAUGGUUAACCUCGGAAGGAUAAUAGUGAAUGAUAAGGGCACAGUCUAUUCAUGAUAAGGUGGAUAGACAAAAGGGAAACAGCCCAGAGCACGUGUUAAGGUCCCAAAAUAUUGUUAAGUGAAUAUAAGAAAGUUUAACUCCUAAUACAACCAUGAAGUAGGCUUGGAGGUAGCCAUCUUUUAAUGAUAGUGUAACAACUCAGUGGUCCAUGUUUCCCUAAUCCCUUACAGGGAUUAGGGAAACACAUAAAAGAAAAAGAAAUUUUUCUUGCAGUUUCCUAGGAAACAGGAGGAGAUAAGCGUCGAAAAUUAACGGGUCUUAGACAAUAUACCUACACCGUGACUAUUUAUAAUAUAUUCUAUUUUUAUUAUAAAUAAGGGUAGCAGAACAUUCAGUAUCUGAUUGAAGGGAAAUGUUUCAUUUACUGGACAGUACUGAAGAGAAAAUGCUGACAUGAGUAACGUAGAAAGGAGUUAAAACACUCCUCGCCGAAUACGAGAGGGUUUCAUGGAAAAGUUAAUCUGCCAUGAGUUAUACGGACUCUAAGGAUUAUAUGACGAAUGUUUAUAUCUGAUGAGAAUAAUAACACUGAAUUAUCUAUAUAUAAUAUCAUUUAAUCUGUAUGAGAUUGUACAGAGUAAAGGAUAGAUCAAGAAAAAUAAGUGUCACUAAAUUUAUAGUGAAUCCGUACCCUAAACCGACACAGGUUCGUAGGUAGAGAAUACUAAGGCGUAGAGAUAAUGCUUGUGAAGGAACUCGGCAAAUUGUGCCCGUAAGUUAGACGAUAAGGGUAACCAGAAUAAAAUAAUUAUAUUCUAAUUCUGAGUGUCACAUAAUCGAGGGCUGCGACUGUUUACCAAAAACACAGCAACUUGCUAAGACGAAUAGUACUUGUAUAAGUUGUGAACUCUGCCCAAUGCCAUGUCGUGUAAAGAAGGUGAUUUAUUUAGUAGUUAUACUAAAUAGUGUCACUAACUGAUGCCAUGGUGAAUGGCGGUCUUAACUAUAAGGAUCUGAAAGUAGCGAAAUUCCUUGGCCAUUAAAUGUGGUCCUGCAUGAAUGAGGUAACGUGGCCCUGCUGUCUCCACAAGCAUCUCAGUGAAAUUGAAUUAGCCGUGCAGAUGCGGUUUACCUUCAGUUAGACGGGAAGACCCUAUGCAGCUUUACUGUAACUUGAUAUUGUUUCUUCUAUAGCUAAGUGUAGUAUACAAGGGAGUAGAUAUUUUCUACAUCAGUGAAAUACCUUGAUUAGUCUAAAGAAGAAACUUACCUAAAUGACACUAAUCGAAUAGUUCUUCAUGAGAUAUUGCGAAGAUCUCUAGUUUACGUCUCUAUAAAUUAAAUAGGAUUUAAUUUUCAUUUUUUUUUUCUAUUAGGUUUAUGGAAAGAGGAGUUUAUUCUC
rfam:Tstilago maydis mitochondrion, complete genome.